rnacentral:sRNA from 1 species
AGAAUGACUUUAACUGAUAGCAUUGAACGCUGCCUGAAAAAAGGUAAGAGUGAUGAGCAACGUGCAGCCGCAGCAUUAGCAUCUGUUCUUUGUAUUCAGCUGGGCCCUGGAAUUGAAAGUGAAGAGAUUUUGAAAACUCUUGGACCAGUCCUAAAGAAAAUCAUUUGUGAUGGGUCAGCUAGUAUCCAGGCUAGGCAAACUUGUGCAACUUGCUUUGGUGUUUGCUGUUUUAUUGCCACAGAUGACAUUACUGAACUAUACUCAACUCUGGAAUGUUUGGAAAAUAUCUUCACUAAAUCCUAUCUCAAAGAGAAAGACACUACUGUUAUUUGCAGCACCCCUAAUACAGUGCUUCAUAUCAGCUCUCUUCUUGCAUGGACACUACUGCUGACCAUAUGCCCAAUCAAUGAAGUGAAGAAAAAGCUUGAGAUGACUUUUUUUAUGAAGACAUGGAGUCCUUGACGCAGAUGCUUAGGGCCUUGGCAACAGAUGGAAAUAAACACCGGGCCAAAGUAGACAAGAGAAAGCAGCGGUCAGUUUUCAGAGAUGUCCUGA